rnacentral:misc_RNA from 1 species
ACCUUCCGAUGUAUAAGCAAUAUCGGAAAGCCUUGGAUGCCAAGCUAUGUUCUUGCCUAUAGGUCUGUAAUUACGUGAUGUAGUGUUUAGAUAUCAGGGUAUAAGUGAUAAAUAUACGAUACUGUAUGUAUAAACUUAUUAAUAAUACGCGAGUGAAUGAACAUGAAGGUGCUAUAAUCGGCGUGAAUCGGUUUGCCAUAUUUACAGAAAGCUAGUCGACUGUCGGAUUAUAUUUAUCUGGCGAAUUUAUUUGUAUUUUCGUGGUAAAAUAGUUAAGAGUUGAAGUAUGGAGUGACACUUAGUCAAUAUGCAUAUCAAAUCUCUUUAAGAUAUGGCCAAUGAUGAUUACUGUAGCUGACGUAAGAUAAAUUCAAAUUUUGAAAUGGGUCCAAUCUGUAAAAUAAUGAAUCAAUACUGUGAUUAUGUAGUUAUGGCUGCAACUAUAUGUAGUAUGAAAAGGUGUGUGUUAGUUGUUUGAAUAUUAUAUAUAUUACAAAUGUAUUAAGUCAAUUCUUGCCAUAUUUACCAUGAUCAAAAUAAAUCGUGAAAACUAU